rnacentral:rRNA from 1 species
CGCUGGCGGCGUGCCUAAUGCAUGCAAGUCGAACGAGAACCGUCGAGUUCGUAAGAACCCGGCGGGGACAGUGGCGAACGGGUGCGUAACACGUGAGAAACCUGCCCUGGAGACCGGGAUAGCCCGAGGAAACUCGGAUUAAUACCGGAUACCUUCGGAUGAUCGCAUGUCGACCGAAGAAACAGUCCGCUGCUCCAGGAUGGUCUCGCGGCCUAUCAGCUCGUUGGUGAGGUAACGGCUCACCAAGGCGAAGACGGGUAGCUGGUCUGAGAGGACGAUCAGCCACACUGGGACUGAGACACGGCCCAGACUCCGUACGGGAGGCAGCAGCAGGGAAUAUUGCACAAUGGGCGAAAGCCUGAUGCAGCGACGCCGCGUGCGGGAUGAAGGCCUUCGGGUCGUAAACCGCUUUCAGCAGGGACGAAAAUUGACGGUACCUGCAGAAGAAGCCCCGGCCAACUACGUG